UAAAAAGCUCGUAGUUGGAUCUGUGUAUCGGACGGCCGGUUCGCUGCUCGCAGCGUUCAACUGGUCGGUCCGGACGUCCUGCCGGUGGGCGUCCGCGCAAGCGGGCGUCCGUACUACCCUCCGGGCUGCUCUUAACCGGGUGGCCCGGUGGGCCGGCACGUUUACUUUGAACAAAUUUGAGUGCUCAAAGCAGGCCUUUGGUCGCCUGAAAACUGUGUGCAUGGAAUAAUGGAAUAGGGCCUCGGUUCUAUUUUGUUGGCUUUUCUGAACUUGAGGUAAUGAUUAAUAGGGACAGACGGGGGCAUUCGUAUUGCGACGUUAGAGGUGAAAUUCUUGGAUCGUCGCAAGACGAACGGAUGCGAAAGCGUUUGCCAAGAAUGUUUUCGCUAAUCAAGAACGAAAGUUAGAGGUUCGAAGGCGAUCAGAUACCGCCCUAGUUCUAACCAUAAACGAUGCCAGCCAGCGAUGCGCCGAAGUUCCUCCGAUGACUCGGCGCGCAGCUUCCGGGAAACCAAAGCUUUUGGGUUCCGGGG
rnacentral:rRNA from 3 species